GAUGAACGCUGGCGGCGUGCUUAACACAUGCAAGUCGAACGAAGCACUUUAUUUGAUUUCCUUCGGGACUGAUUAUUUUGUGACUGAGUGGCGGACGGGUGAGUAACGCGUGGGUAACCUGCCUUGUACAGGGGGAUAACAGUUGGAAACGGCUGCUAAUACCGCAUAAGCGCACAGCAUCGCAUGAUGCAGUGUGAAAAACUCCGGUGGUAUAAGAUGGACCCGCGUUGGAUUAGCUAGUUGGUGAGGUAACGGCCCACCAAGGCGACGAUCCAUAGCCGACCUGAGAGGGUGACCGGCCACAUUGGGACUGAGACACGGCCCAAACUCCUACGGGAGGCAGCAGUGGGGAAUAUUGCACAAUGGGCGAAAGCCUGAUGCAGCGACGCCGCGUGAGCGAAGAAGUAUUUCGGUAUGUAAAGCUCUAUCAGCAGGGAAGAUAAUGACGGUACCUGACUAAGAAGCACCGGCUAAAUACGUGCCAGCAGCCGCGGUAAUACGUAUGGUGCAAGCGUUAUCCGGAUUUACUGGGUGUAAAGGGAGCGCAGGCGGUGCGGCAAGUCUGAUGUGAAAGCCCGGGGCUCAACCCCGGUACUGCAUUGGAAACUGUCGUACUAGAGUGUCGGAGGGGUAAGCGGAAUUCCUAGUGUAGCGGUGAAAUGCGUAGAUAUUAGGAGGAACACCAGUGGCGAAGGCGGCUUACUGGACGAUAACUGACGCUGAGGCUCGAAAGCGUGGGGAGCAAACAGGAUUAGAUACCCUGGUAGUCCACGCCGUAAACGAU
rnacentral:rRNA from 1 species